rnacentral:rRNA from 1 species
UGGAGGGCAAGUCUGGUGCCAGCAGCCGCGGUAAUUCCAGCUCCAAUAGCGUAUAUUAAAGUUGUUGUGGUUAAAAAGCUCGUAGUUGAACCUUGGGCCUGGCUGGCCGGUCCGCCUCACCGCGUGUACUGGUCCGGCCGGGCCUUUCCCUCUGUGGAACCCCAUGCCCUUCACUGGGUGUGGCGGGGAAACAGGACUUUUACUGUGAAAAAAUUAGAGUGCUCCAGGCAGGCCUAUGCUCGAAUACAUUAGCAUGGAAUAAUAGAAUAGGACGUGUGGUUCUAUUUUGUUGGUUUCUAGGACCGCCGUAAUGAUUAAUAGGGACAGUCGGGGGCAUCAGUAUUCAAUUGUCAGAGGUGAAAUUCUUGGAUUUAUUGAAGACUAACUACUGCGAAAGCAUUUGCCAAGGAUGUUUUCAUUAAUCAGGAACGAAAGUUAGGGGAUCGAAGACGAUCAGAUACCGUCGUAGUCUUAACCAUAAACUAUGCCGACUAGGGAUCGGACGGUGUUAUUUUUUGACCCGUUCGGCACCUUACGGGAAAC